rnacentral:rRNA from 1 species
CUACGGGUUGCAGCAGUGAGGAAUAUUGCACAAUGGGGGGAACCCUGAUGCAGCAACGCCGCGUGGAGGAUGACGCAUUUCGGUGUGUAAACUCCUUUUAUAUGUCAAGAAAAUGACGGUAGCAUAUGAAUAAGCACCGGCUAACUCCGUGCCAGCAGCCGCGGUAAUACGGAGGGUGCAAGCGUUACUCGGAAUCACUGGGCGUAAAGGACGCGUAGGCGGGUUGGAAAGUCAGGUGUGAAAUCCUACAGCUUAACUGUAGAACUGCACUUGAAACUUCUAAUCGAGAGUAUGGGAGGGAGAGAUGGAAUUAGUGGUGUAGGGGUAAAAUCCGUAGAUAUCACUAGGAAUACCUAAAGCGAAGGCGAUCUCCUGGAACAUUACUGACGCUAAGGCGUGAAAGCGUGGGGAGCAAACAGGAUUAGAUACCCGUGUAGUC